UUGAUCCUGGCUCAGGAUGAACGCUAGCGGCAGGCUUAACACAUGCAAGUCGAGGGGUAUAAGUCUUCGGAUUUAGAGACCGGCGCACGGGUGCGUAACGCGUAUGCAAUCUACCUUUCACAGAGGGAUAGCCCAGAGAAAUUUGGAUUAAUACCUCAUAGUAUACUGAGUUGGCAUCAACAUAGUAUUAAAGUCACAACGGUGAAAGAUGAGCAUGCGUCCCAUUAGCUAGUUGGUAAGGUAACGGCUUACCAAGGCUACGAUGGGUAGGGGUCCUGAGAGGGAGAUCCCCCACACUGGUACUGAGACACGGACCAGACUCCUACGGGAGGCAGCAGUGAGGAAUAUUGGACAAUGGGCGCAAGCCUGAUCCAGCCAUGCCGCGUGCAGGAUGACGGUCCUAUGGAUUGUAAACUGCUUUUGCACAGGAAGAAACACUGAUUCGUGAAUCAGCUUGACGGUACUGUGAGAAUAAGGAUCGGCUAACUCCGUGCCAGCAGCCGCGGUAAUACGGAGGAUCCAAGCGUUAUCCGGAAUCAUUGGGUUUAAAGGGUCCGUAGGCGGUCUAGUAAGUCAGUGGUGAAAGCCCAUCGCUCAACGGU
rnacentral:rRNA from 1 species